rnacentral:lncRNA from 1 species
AAACAUGCACAACACUGUCAAAAUUAAACCUGUGGUCAGGCAAAACAAGCUAGCCUCCAAUGCACUUGACAAUAUUGUCCCUAGAGCAAGUGGCAAAGGGCUUGAUAGUUGGUACCCGAGGUCCCAAGUUCGAAUCCUAGUUGAUUCACAUUUCCAGCUAAGUUUAUUUUCUAAAUGAAAUGGACGAAGCGGAUAGCGUGCUACCUAUCUCUCUCUCUCAAAAAAAAAAAAUAAAAUAAAAUAAAAAAAUUGUGCCAUCACAAGCUUCCAAAUAUUGGCCCAUAUAUAGUUGUUCCCAAAGUUUAAUUUGAAGGGAAUAAUAACACCAGCUUUUCUUUUGUUUUUUUCUUUGGAAAAUGCUCAUAGAUUAUUAUUAUUAUUAUUAUUAUUUUGAGAGAGAUAGGUAGCACAAUGUAUCAGGAGGAUUGUAAUAUAAGCAUCUAAGUGAUAAAUAAUUCCUUAAGGGCUUGUUUGGUUCAUCUAUUUUAGGUAUGGAAUGGGAAUCGGUUUGAUCAAAUCCGGUUAAUUUUGUUUGGUUUGCAUGAAUCGGUUUGGGAUUCCUAUUCCGGACUGGAAUGGGAAUGGCCUAUUAGCCUUCAACUUGAUUCCGGUCUUCUAAUCCGGAUUGAGAUUUCAUUCCGGAAGCCCACUAAGUUCUCAAAGCUCAUGUGACCAUCUUACCCUCCUUCUCUUCACCACUUUCUCAUCAAAAAAAAAAAAAAUCUAUUCUCUCUCAAAACCCUAUCCCAAAUCCACAUCAAUAAAAAUUUUUAAAAAUAAAUUUGAUAUUUUUCUUGAAAAACUUAUUAGAGAAUAGUAUUAUAUUUUUCAUAAAUUUUAAAUAAUAUAAAUUUAUAUUUGAGAGUGAAAUUAGUAGUAUGGUAUCCUAUAAUUUUUUUAGUUUAUACGAACCAAACAAUGAAAUGUGAAUAUAUAUCUCAUUCCAAUUUCCAAUCCACAAAUAAACCAAACGUCUUGGGGGAGUGGGCCAUUCCAAUUACCAUUCCAAUUCAUUUCCAUUCCAUUAUCCAUUUCAAUUCCACCCUUGAACCAAACAAGCCCUAAAUUUAAA